UAACAAAUUGAAAGGCUCUUUAAUAGGUGGGAUUAGGCACCAAUCACACAAGAAGCCAAAAACCAUGACAAGGAUAGCCCAAUUGGCAACAAUUGUCACAAGCCUUGUGAUUGUGGCUGCUACUAGAACUUUUCUUGGUCUUUGUUCCUUGUAUAGUUAACCAAUCUGUUUGUUUGGAUGCUGCAUGCAAGAGAUCCUCAUUUCCCUUAAUUCACCAGCUCCUUCUCUCCCUCUCUCUCACUCUCAAAAAUAAAGGAAGGAGACUACUAAAGUGACUGAAAAAGCUCUUCCCUUCUUUGUCUAAGAAUCUUGAACGCGUAUUUUGUGCGAGGGAAGCUUAAGACUCUUUACACACCCCCCCACACCACCUCAUAAAGCAGAGCACUUUGGGCAAAGCAAGGAUUUUAUGGCUAUCAUCUCAUGAGUGUUUAAAGGUAGCCCCACUCAUAGUUACAUCCAAGAUGAGACCCAAACCCCGUAAUCCGUCUUCCCCCACAAUCGAAGCUUCCAUGCCUCGGUGCGCCGCUAUGCUCUGCCCGGCGGCCUCGACGACUUCCCCGCUCUCCUGCGAAACACAUUCACAGAAUGGUGGUUAGCCAUGGAACAGCAGCAGCCAACACUCCAUGCCAAUUCCUGAAUUCAGAUUUUGUUAUGAUGUGCGACGUUUUGCAUGCACAAGGCAAUCAAAUCAUCCUAUACUAUACUACCUUUCUUCACUUAAUCCAGGAUUUUUAAGGUUUUAGAAGUGGCUUGCAGAGAAUAAAUUUAUCUUGUUUGCAGUAUCCAAUUGCUUUUGUUGCAGCGAUUUGUGAGGAUAAGAAUGAUUAUGGAAUGUGGGUUGUGAUGAAUAAAGUGAAGAGAGACCGUCUUUUCUUUUUCUCUUCUUUUUAUUUUGAACUAGCAGGCUAGCAACAAAGCUAGGGACUCUGAAACUUGUAUGACCGGACCCACGAAGCCUCUAAAGUAGGUCCUUGACAACUAACAUGGCAGUCUUGCUCAGGGUCCCUGGAGCAGCGCAGAUAACAAAAAAAAAAGAAAAAGAAAAAGA